rnacentral:rRNA from 1 species
CGAGCGCAGGAAGUCAUCCGAACCCUUCGGGGGGACGUUGACGGAAUGAGCGGCGGACGGGUGAGUAACACGUAAAGAACCUGCCCUCAGGUCUGGGAUAACCACGAGAAAUCGGGGCUAAUACCGGAUGGGUCAUCGAACCGCAUGGUUCGAGGAUGAAAGGCGCUUCGGCGUCGCCUGGGGAUGGCUUUGCGGUGCAUUAGCUAGUUGGUGGGGUAAUGGCCCACCAAGGCGACGAUGCAUAGCCGACCUGAGAGGGUGAUCGGCCACACUGGGACUGAGACACGGCCCAGACUCCUACGGGAGGCAGCAGUAGGGAAUCUUCCACAAUGGACGAAAGUCUGAUGGAGCAACGCCGCGUGAACGAUGAAGGCCUUCGGGUCGUAAAGUUCUGUUGUAAGGGAAGAAAAAGUGCCGCAGGCAAUGGCGGCACCUUGACGGUACCUUGCGAGAAAGCCACGGCUAACUACGUUGCCAGCAGCCGCGGU